rnacentral:rRNA from 1 species
AACGCGAAGAACCUUACCUACUCUUGACAUCCAGAGAACUUAGCAGAGAUGCUUUGGUGCCUUCGGGAACUCUGAGACAGGUGCUGCUUGGCUGUCGUCAGCUCGUGUUGUGAAAUGUUGGGUUAAGUCCCGCAACGAGCGCAACCCUUAUCCUUUGUUGCCAGCGGUUCGGCCGGGAACUCAAAGGAGACUGCCAGUGAUAAACUGGAGGAAGGUGGGGAUGACGUCAAGUCAUCAUGGCCCUUACGAGUAGGGCUACACACGUGCUACAAUGGCAUAUACAAAGAGAAGCGACCUCGCGAGAGCAAGCGGACCUCAUAAAGUAUGUCGUAGUCCGGAUUGGAGUCUGCAACUCGACUCCAUGAAGUCGGAAUCGCUAGUAAUCGUAGAUCAGAAUGCUACGGUGAAUACGUUCCCGGGCCUUGUACACACCG